rnacentral:rRNA from 1 species
CGAACGCUGGCGGCGUGCUUAACACAUGCACGUCGAACGGAGGCUUGAGGGAGCUUGCUCCCGAAAGCCUUAGUGGCGGACGGGUGAGUAACGCGUGGGUAACCUGCCCUGAAGAGGGGGAUAACACCGCGAAAGUGGUGCUAAUACCGCAUGAAGCUAUAAGGCUGCAUAGCCAGAUAGCCAAAGGAGAAAUCCGCUUUAGGAUGGACCCGCGUCUGAUUAGCUAGUUGGUGGGGUAACGGCUCACCAAGGCGACGAUCAGUAGCCGGCCGGAGAGGGUGAACGGCCACACUGGGACUGAGACACGGCCCAGACUCCUACGGGAGGCAGCAGUGGGGAAUCUUCCGCAAUGGGCGAAAGCCUGACGGAGCAACGCCGCGUGAAUGAUGAAGGCCUUCGGGUUGUAAAAUUCUGUCUUCAGGGAAGAAAAAAAUGACGGUACCUGAGGAGGAAGCCCCGGCUAACUACGU